rnacentral:lncRNA from 1 species
AUGGAGGACAGGGUGGAGCCGGGAGGGAGGGGCACUCGGCGCGGGAGUAAGGGGGGGAGGGGCGGAAAGGUGGAAGAGCUGGAGCGCAGGGUGAAGAAAGAACCGGGAAGGCGCGCACGGGAGAGCACGGCCUGGGGCGUGGCUUGGGCCGGGGGCGUGGCGCAGGACGCGGCGCGGGUACGUCUGGCCCCCCAGCUUCCGCUCAGCCCCCUUCUGGCGCUGGGGGCCGCCGGAGCCCGUUUCCUACGCGGGGCACGCGGCCGGAAGGCCGGGCCGCCUCCCCGUCUCGGGGCUCCUGCGGUGGAGUCCGCACCCCGAGGGUCGCUCGGGAGCGAGUGCACGCCCGUCUCUCGGGGCUGGCCGGGCCGGUUUGCAGGCAGGGACCAUCCACUUAACUGCCACACCAGGAAUCUCAAAUAUGCAGGGACAAGAGAAAUACUUGUUUCUCAUCAGGCCCUUGGACACCCUCUGGCUAUAUACUCAGCUGGGAGGUGCCGGACACCUGGACUGAGAGAGAGUGCCAAGGACUGGAUGCCAGCCUACAUGUUGCAAGGCACGGGGAUGAUGCCGAAGCCCAGCGAAAAUGAGCCCUCCCAUUCUGAACCCGAAACUUGUGAUAUGACCUGGAACUUUUAA